CCUAGGGGGGGCAGCAGUGGGGAAUAUUGGACAAUGGGCGAAAGCCUGAUCCAGCCAUGCCGCGUGUGUGAAGAAGGCCUUCGGGUUGUAAAGCACUUUCAGUGGGGAAGAAAGCCUUGGGGCUAAUACCCUCGAGGAAGGACAUCACCCACAGAAGAAGCACCGGCUAACUCCGUGCCAGCAGCCGCGGUAAUACGGAGGGUGCGAGCGUUAAUCGGAAUUACUGGGCGUAAAGCGCGCGUAGGCGGUCUGAUAAGCCGGUUGUGAAAGCCCCGGGCUCAACCUGGGAACGGCAUCCGGAACUGUCAGGCUAGAGUGCAGGAGAGGAAGGUAGAAUUCCCGGUGUAGCGGUGAAAUGCGUAGAGAUCGGGAGGAAUACCAGUGGCGAAGGCGGCCUUCUGGACUGACACUGACGCUGAGGUGCGAAAGCGUGGGUAGCAAACAGGAUUAGAUACCCUGGUAGUC
rnacentral:rRNA from 1 species